CCCUUAGACGCUCUGGGCCGCACGCGCGCUACACUGACCAGUGCAACAAGCAUCCGUCCUUGGCCGACAGGCCCGGGCAAUCUUUGAACGCUGGUCGUGAUGGGGAUAGACUUUUGCAAUUUUUGGUCUUCAACGAGGAAUUCCUAGUAAACGCAAGUCAUCAACUUGCAUUGAUUACGUCCCUGCCCUUUGUACACACCGCCCGUCGCACCUACCGAUUGAAUGGUCCGGUGAAGCCUCCGGAUUGGCGCGCACCUCGGUGCCGCCGAGAAGUUGGCUAAACCUUACCAUUUAGAGGAAGGUGAANUCGUANCA
rnacentral:rRNA from 1 species